AUUGAACGCUGGCGGCAUGCUUUACACAUGCAAGUCGAACGGCAGCGCGGGCUUCGGCCUGGCGGCGAGUGGCGAACGGGUGAGUAAUAUAUCGGAACGUACCCAAGAGUGGGGGAUAACGUAGCGAAAGUUACGCUAAUACCGCAUACGAUCUAAGGAUGAAAGCAGGGGAUCGCAAGACCUUGUGCUCCUGGAGCGGCCGAUAUCUGAUUAGCUAGUUGGUGAGGUAAAGGCUCACCAAGGCAACGAUCAGUAGCUGGUCUGAGAGGACGACCAGCCACACUGGAACUGAGACACGGUCCAGACUCCUACGGGAGUCAGCAGUGGGGAAUUUUGGACAAUGGGGGCAACCCUGAUCCAGCAAUGCCGCGUGAGUGAAGAAGGCCUUCGGGUUGUAAAGCUCCUUUGUCAGGGAAGAAAAGGCUGUGGCUAAUAUCCACAGCUGCUGACGGUACCUGAAGAAUAAGCACCGGCUAACUACGUGCCAGCAGCCGCAGUAACAC
rnacentral:rRNA from 1 species